rnacentral:tRNA from 1 species
GCGGGUGUGGUUCAAUGGUAGAACACCAGCCUUCCAAGCUGGUCACGUGGGUUCGAUUCCCAUCACCCGCU